AUACGUAGGUGGCAAGCGUUGUCCGGAAUUAUUGGGCGUAAAGCACAUGUAGGCGGUAAUUUAAGUCUGUCGUGAAACUGCGGGGCUCAGCCCCGUAUGGCGAUGGAAACUGGGUUACUUGAGUGCAGGAGAGGAAAGGGGAACUCCCAGUGUAGCGGUGAAAUGCGUAGAAAUUGGGAAGAACACCGGUGGCGAAUGCGCCUUUCUGGACUGUGUCUAACGCGGAGAUGCGAAGGCCAGGGUGGCGAACGGUAUUAGAUACCCCGGUGCUCCUGGCCGAAGGCGAAGGGUACGAGGUGUGGGAGGUAUCGACCCCUUCCGGGCCGGAGUUAACACAAAAAGUACCCCGCCUGGGGAGUACGGCCGCAAGGCUUAAACUCAGAUGAAUUGACGGGG
rnacentral:rRNA from 1 species